AAUGAAGUGCCUGAUUAAAGGGUUAUCUUGAUAGGAUAAAUAACGUAAAUCUUUACCUUCAUUA
rnacentral:tRNA from 1 species